rnacentral:pre_miRNA from 1 species
AUUAAGGUCGCUUUUUAGUUUUUAGAUACAAUGACUCUUUGUCUUAUUUAAAAUAUUUUGCGAUUAAUAAUUUUAUUGUUACUAGAUGGUAAAAUAUAAAUAGUACUUUAUACCUGACUAAUUUGUUUAAGUUUUUGUACAAAAUUUUCAAAUAAGACAAAUGGUCAAAGCGUUGGACAUAGAAAUCAAAAAAUAAAGUUAUC